UAGGGAAUAUUGGGCAAUGGAGGGAACUCUGACCCAGCCAUGCCGCGUGCAGGAUGAAGGCGUUAUGCGUUGUAAACUGCUUUUUAUAUAGGAAGAAAUAGUCCUUGCGAGGAAAGUUGACGGUACUAUAUGAAUAAGCACCGACUAACUCCGUGCCAGCAGCCGCGGUAAUACGGAGGGUGCAAGCGUUGUCCGGAUUUAUUGGGUUUAAAGGGUGCGUAGGCGGUUUAUUAAGUCAGUGGUGAAAGACGGUCGCUCAACGAUUGCAGUGCCAUUGAUACUGGUAGACUUGAGUAUGAUUGAGGUAGCUGGAAUGGAUAGUGUAGCGGUGAAAUGCAUAGAUAUUAUCCAGAACACCAAUUGCGUAGGCAAGUUACUAAGUCAUAACUGACGCUGAGGCACGAAAGUGUGGGUAUCAAACAGGAUUAGAUACCCCAGUAGUCCCUGAGCGGGCUGGCAAGGCGCAU
rnacentral:rRNA from 1 species